UUUCCACUCCCUAUCCUCUCUCACUCUCUCCAUCUGGGCACUCUCCUUUCUCCUCUUCCUUUCCCAUAUUCUCUCCUUUUUUUUAUUUUCUUCUCCUUAAGAAAGCGGUAAUGUUGUUGAACGGAAGUGGUGCUUGACUUUGAUUUAGAAGCGGAGAUUACAUGGGGUGGGAUGGAGUUGCAGGAGGUACAUGGAUAGAGUUUUAUGGCUUUAAAUUUUGUGGCUGAGCUGGUUUGUAGAGACGGAGGUAUGGAAAAAGAGAUAAGGAGGUUGGAUGAGCAUGAAAGUAAGGAGAAUACAAGAAGAAGGUGGAAAGAACAAGGCAGAAACUGUCUGCUUCUAGGCAUCUCUGGACCUGACUUUUCACAGGUAAUAUGAAUGCCAUAAACUCCGAUUUAUCUUAAGGUUUCUCCAUGAAAAUUGUUCCUUAUAGUUUGUAGAAGCUCUCUGAAAACUUUCAUGAUAAAUUACUUUGUAAGUUGCGAGUUAUGAAUUUAUUAGUAAAGGGGUGUAAGAAAAUGUGAUUCACUGAUGUGUGCUGCCUUUUCAUAGCUGUUUCUGUAUGAUAACGAGUGAAUUAAGAGAUGAAAUUUUUAUGAGAGAUACAUAUGACGUUUUUGAAGACUCUAUUAAAAUUUGGCCAUGAUAUGUUAAUAUUUCGAUUUAUUAAAAAUGCCGAAGUAAAGGAGGUGCAGGUAGAAUUUCUGUUUUCAGGGAUGUAGUGUUGUUUUGGAAAGCAUUUUUCAGGAUGUUAUGGCCUUUAUCUCUUGUUGUCCAAAGAAUAAAAGUUGUAGAUAAAUAUCCAAAUAUGGAUCCUGUAAAAGUUGGUGAUAUUUAGACUUGUUGGUAAUGAGAUAAUGCAAAAGGAAGAUCAGUUCUGGGAUAAUGGAAGCCAUAAGGCUACUGCCCUGUUUUGGACAGAGCAUAUGAGACCCUUACACUCCUAUUUUGAUGAUAAUUGUUGAAGACAAAAUAUUCUAUAUUGUUUCUAGUUUACUUACGCAAAAUCCUUGUAUUAUUUAAGCUAAGAUUGUUGAGUUAUGGUAUUUUAACCAAGGUCGUAUAAAACUGGAAUUUGCGUAUUGACACCAAUAGUUGAGAAUUGUUUCGAAGCCUCGUUCUUCACUUUUAUUCAACAAAAUAACCUCGAUAACUUUGGUACAACUAUAAUAUGAGGACAAUGAUGAUAUGCAUGUUUGGGGAAGGGAUUAACAAGAGUUUAAUCACGGAAAUGUUAAGGUAAAAGCCGUAACAAUGCCCAUUUUUCGAGAAAUAUUACCACUGCUGGUACACAGAUUCAGAGCACAAGAAUAUCUGGUAUGGUUGUGUAAGUCUUAGUUAGUAGAUCGCGUGAGCGCUUGAAUCACUGAAAAAGAAUUUACGGAUUAGGAGUUAUGGUCGUUUUUGUAUGAGAUGUGCGAAACCGUAAAUCCGGUUACAAAAUGAAUUUUGUGACUAAAGUGCACAUAGUUAAAAUGUGCAUUAAAUUAAGAAAUCUUUAUAACAGUAAUAAUCAUGAAAAGCACCGGGAACGAUAUUUAUUUUUAGUAAUAUGAAACAUAAAGUAAUAUAUUAAGUAGGAAGUCAGAACUUUGUUUUAAGAAAAAUUCUAAAUUAUUUAUUUCUGUCUAGAAGAGCCCUUCUUAUUUGGGGAAGCAAGCACAUCUAUAUAUGUUUUGGGCAAAGACUUUAUUUCAAGGAAAGCAAGGCAAGUUCACUUAUCCCUACUUUGACUUGCUGAAUUUUGUGUUGUGAUUCUGUUAAAUGUGAUUAUACUUGAUAUUAAAGAUCCGGAAAUAAGGCAAGAUGAUUUCUUAACCUAUACUCUUUUUAUUAUUUUUGUUUUCUGCACCCCGAUAACUUUAGACUUAGCUUAUACUCCAUCCAUUAUUCUCUACGAGUAACUCGAUCCAAAAUUCAGAAUUAUUGCGUAUUGAGGCUGCUUCUCUUUGUUAGAGGGCAACCUUUUAUUUAUUAUAUAAAUUAUGAUUAUUUUCCUUUGUUCGGAAAUAAUCACUUUCAUUGACUCAAUGGUCGGUAUAUUUUUCAUAUCGACCACCUUCGUCUCGAUUAAACGAUACUCGCUAGAUUCCUUGUUCGAAUCUAAGACUUUUGAUUAUCCUUCCAAUCAUUUAAUUUUAUUCGAAAAUCUUAAAUCUGGAGGAUGUCUUUCUCACUGGUCAACGUGGCUUGUGAACCACGGAGUUUAAUUUAUAUAUGAGAUUAUUGGUCCCAAAUGAGGACAUUUACGAAUACGGGGAACGUCGGAAGAGUUCGACGAUGGCCUCAGAGAUAUUCGUUAUGCUAGCUAAAGAGGAUAGGGCGUGCUUAUCGCGAGCCGUGAUCGGGUGAGGGUAAGUUACGCAGGAGAACGGUACUCGGCGAUAGUUGAUCGCAUCGCUGCUGUAUCGGGGUGGAAAUGACCAGUUUCAUCUUACAAAUUAUCGGUGAAUUGCCAGAUAAGAAUCUCUUUAAUACACUAUGAUGUGAAGUGAAUUUCAUUCACUUGAAGUUGUGAUUAUUGUUUCAUUCAUUUAAUGUUGUGAUUAUUAUUUCAUUCACUUAAAGAUGUGAUUAUUGUUUACUUUCGAGAUCCCCUCUCAUAUCAUUUUUGAAAUGUUAAUUAUGAACUUGCUGAGCACACUGUUGCUCACUCUUGCUACUCUGAUAUUGUUAGACAGGGUGGAACAAAGCAGAUGAACAGUAUUGUCCGCCAAAGCAAAGAGAAAUUAAGUAUCAUAUAUGAAGUGAGGAUGUAUAGACUUGAAAGUUGUUUCUUGGGAUGGUUAC
rnacentral:lncRNA from 1 species